AAUGAACGCUGGCGGCAGGCCUAACACAUGCAAGUCGAACGAGUGGCGGACGGGUGAGUAAUGUCUGGGCCCCUGCCUGAUGGAGGGGGAUAACUACUGGUAACGGUAGCUAAUACCCCCUACCAUCAACUGUGCCCAGAGGGGAUUAGCUAGUUGGUGGGGUAACGGCUCACCAAGGCCACGAUCCCUAGCUGGUCUGAGAGGAUGACAGGCCACACUGGAACGGAGACACGGACCAGAGUCCUAAGAGAGGCAGCAGUGGGGAAUAUUGCACAAUGGGCGCAAGCCUGAUGCAGCCAGGCCGCGUGUAUGAAGAAGGCCUUGGGGUUGUAAAGUACGUUCAGCGGGGAGGCGUUACCCGCAGAAGAAGCACCGGCUAACUCCGUGCCAGCAGCCGCGGUAAUUC
rnacentral:rRNA from 1 species